rnacentral:rRNA from 1 species
UACGUAGGGUGCAAGCGUUGUCCGGAAUUAUUGGGCGUAAAGAGCUCGUAGGCGGUCUGUCGCGUCGGCUGUGAAAACCCGGAGCUCAACUCCGGGCCUGCAGUCGAUACGGGCAAACUGGAGUGUUGCAGGGGAGACUGGAAUUCCUGGUGUAGCGGUGAAAUGCGCAGAUAUCAGGAGGAACACCGGUGGCGAGGGCGGGUCUCUGGGCAACAACUGACGCUGAGGAGCGAAAGCGUGGGGAGCGAACAGG